CUUCUGAAUAAUAUUUGUUCAUUAUUCACCAGAGCUGGACUGCAAAGCUGGUGAGCAACAGCUGAAACACCAUGGAGGUUUUCUGUCAACAUUUUGGAUGGUGGUUAUCAUGCGAACAUGUGGAACUAUGAAGCUCUCUUAUACUAAGGCUGAUUCCAGAGGGGAUUGUUUUUAUGGAAUGCUGUUCAAGCAUACAACUUGUUUGUUUUUUGCAGUGUCCAUGCAAUGUUGUUGUAAUCAUCAAAAUGCCAGCCCAUGCUAUAAGUAAAAA